GUGUUGUAUGGAAGGAGAGAAGGUUAGUGCUCCCCUUGAUAAGGAUGGAAGAGGUCCAUGUGGCCUUUACAGCACAUCAUAUGGAUGGUCAAGGCAUUGACACUUCCUGGCAUCUGCAACCAUUUUAUUUU